CCCAAACAUUUUUACCCUCCCCCAUUGUUUUUGUGCAUUAUUAUUUUGCGCUUUUAAAUAUACCAUUCUAUCAUUGUCAAUUUUUUUUAUUUGCUCUUGAGUUACGGACAAAAAAAAUAUUUUGACUUUUUGUUCUUUCAAAUAUACUCUUCUAUCGUUAUCAGAUGAUUUAAAGGACAGAAACAUUAGAAUUUUUUUUGAAUAACGGAGAAAUAUAUAAAAGAUGUAUUUGAAAAAAAAAAUGAAUAAAUAAAAUAUUUCGAAAAUUUUGAGAGGUAUAUAGAUAAUUAUUUCUAUAAAAUAAUACCAGUGGGGAAACAUAUAUAAUAUUU
rnacentral:lncRNA from 1 species